rnacentral:tRNA from 1 species
UAUAUUUUAGUGUAUAUAGCAUUAAAGAUUUUGAUUCUUUAAGAUUUAAUUAAUUAUUAAAAAAUAUAA